CCGCCCACCCGCCUGGCCACGCCAGGGCCGCAGCCCCUGGUCACUGGAUCACUGGAUCACUGGGUUCCAGGGAAGGCUCCGCCUGGGGGCGAGCUCUGAAACUCCAGGGCUUAUCAGGUUCUAAGGCUGAUGCUGGGGCUUGAUUUGCAUAUGUGCCCGUAUGCACUACUGGAGACAUGACAAAAAAGAUCUGAGGAAGGUUCUCUGGUUCCUGAGAAGCCUGAAACAACACGGACAGAAGCAGCCCGGCCUGACCGUCUGAGAGUCUGGGGGCCGCACAGCUGGGCUACACCCCGAGAGUGAACACAGGGCUGCACCUUGGUCUCUGCGGGCCCUGCCGGUGUUCGCUGCUCCGACCACGUCUGUGCUGUGCAGCUGACAGCCGUCAAGUGUGAGCUUGGUCAAGGCCUCCACAAAGCCCUCCUGGAGCCAAAAGGUCCUGACUGCGACCCUGCGGCCCUCACCCUUCCUUCUGACCCCCGCCUGACUCACUGGCCUCACACCUGUCCCGCUCCCAGGAGUGUAUAGGCUUUGAGCCCCGUGUGCCCUCCUGCUCUGCCCUGCCCCUGUGUACCGCGGGGCGAAAGGAACCCACCCCACGCCAACUCCCCCUUGACCCUCAAGCCCCCUCUGAGCUUUGUGAGCAGCCGGCCUCACACUCAGCCCCACCCCCAGUCCUUCCAGAAUCGACCACCAGAAUCCUGGUCUGAUAGAAACCAGUAGUGAGAAUUCCAAAGAAAGCUCUUGUAGCCUCUGCCCCCAGAGCCCUCCAUAAGGACACGCCACUUCCAAAUACACCAGACUGGACCCCAGACACAGAAGGGACCAGCCUGGUAAGCAUAGAACGGGACCCAAACAUUCCC